UGUUUCCUGUGUGGAAUUGUUAUACGCUAAGAAAUCCGCUGAAAGAUGAGCUCGCGUCCAAUUAGGUAGAUGGUGAGGUAACGGCUCACCAUGCCGACGAUUGGUAGCCGGACUGAGAGGUUGAACGGCCACAUUGGGACUGAGACACGGCCCAGACUCCUACGGGAGGCAGCAGUGGGGGAUAUUGCACAAUGGGGGAAACCCUGAUGCAGCGACGCCGCGUGAGGGAAGAAGGUUUUCGGAUUGUAAACCUCUGUCCUCAGGGACGAAGGAAGACGGUACCUGAGGAGGAAGCCACGGCUAACUACGUGCCAGCAGCCGCGGUAGUACGUAGGUGGCAAGCGUUGUCCGGAAUUACUGGGUGUAAAGGGAGCGUAGGCGGCUAUGCAAGUUGAAUGUUAAAGUUCGGGGCUCAACCCCGUGAUGCGUUCAAAACUGUAUAGCUUGAGUGAAGUAGAGGCAAUCGGAAUUCCUAGUGUAGCGGUGAAAUGCGUAAAUAUUAGGAGGAACACCAGUGGCGAAGGCGGAUUGCUGGGCUUUAACUGACGCUGAGGCUCGAAAGCGUGGGUAGCAAACAGGAUUAGAUACCCUGGUAGUCCACGCGGUAAACGAUGAUUACUAGGUGUGGGGGGAGACCCCUUCCGUGCCGGAGUUAACACAAUAAGUAAUCCACCUGGGGAGUACGACCGCAAGGUUGAAACUCAAAGGAAUUGACGGGGGCCCGCACAAGCAGUGGAGUAUGUGGUUUAAUUCGACGCAACGCGAAGAACCUUACCAGGUCUUGACAUCGUGCGCAUAACAUAGAGAUAUGUGAAAUUCACCUUCGGGUGAACGCAUAGACAGGUGGUGCAUGGUUGUCGUCAGCUCGUGUCGUGAGAUGUUGGGUUAAGUCCCGCAACGAGCGCAACCCUUACGGUCAGUUGCUACGCAAGAGCACUCUGGCAGGACUGCCGUUGACAAAACGGAGGAAGGUGGGGAUGACGUCAAAUCAUCAUGCCCCUUAUGACCUGGGCUACACACGUACUACAAUGGCUAAGAACAGAGAGAAGCGACACAGCGAUGUGAAGCAAACCUCGAAAAAUAGUCUCAGUUCAGAUUGCAGGCUGC
rnacentral:rRNA from 1 species